AGUGGCGGACGGGUGAGGAAUACGUAGGGAUCUGCCUUUAAGUGGGGGAUAACCCGGGGAAACCCGGAUUAAUACCGCAUGAUCUCGCAAGAGCAAAGUGGGGGAUCGCAAGACCUCACGCUUUUAGAGGAACCUACGUCGGAUUAGCUUGUUGGUGAGGUAAUGGCUCACCAAGGCGACGAUCCGUAACUGGUCUGAGAGGAUGAUCAGUCACACUGGAACUGAGACACGGUCCAGACUCCUACGGGAGGCAGCAGUGGGGAAUAUUGGACA
rnacentral:rRNA from 1 species